AUUGAACGCUGGCGGCAUGCUUUACACAUGCAAGUCGAACGGCAGCGCGGGCUUCGGCCUGGCGGCGAGUGGCGAACGGGUGAGUAAUACAUCGGAACGUGCCCAGUAGUGGGGGAUAGCUCGGCGAAAGCCGGAUUAAUACCGCAUACGACCUGAGGGUGAAAGCGGGGGAUCUUCCGACCUCGCGCUAUUGGAGCGGCCGAUGGCAGAUUAGCUAGUUGGUGGGGUAAAGGCCUACCAAGGCGACGAUCUGUAGCUGGUCUGAGAGUACGACCAGCAACACUGGCACUGAGACACGGCCCAGACUACUACGGGAGGCAGCAGUGGGAAAUUUUGGACAAUGGGGGAAAGCCUGAUCAAGCAAUGCCGCGUGUGUGAUGAAGGCCUUCGGGUUGUAAAGCACUUUUGGCGGGAACGAAAAGGACUGUGCCAAUACCACGGUUCGAUGACGGUACCCGCAGAAUAAGCACCGGCUAACUACGUG
rnacentral:rRNA from 1 species